UACGAAGGGGGCUAGCGUUGUUCGGAUUCAUUGGGCGUAAAGGGUGCGUAGGUGGCGUCGUAAGUCAGGUGUGAAAUUUCGGAGCUUAACUCCGAAACUGCAUUUGAUACUGCGGUGCUUGAGGACUGGAGAGGAGACUGGAAUUUACGGUGUAGCAGUGAAAUGCGUAGAGAUCGUAAGGAAGACCAGUGGCGAAGGCGGGUCUCUGGACAGUUCCUGACACUGAGGCACGAAGGCCAGGGGAGCAAACGGG
rnacentral:rRNA from 1 species